GUUUUAGUAGCUUAAUAAAGCAUAUGACUCUUAAUCAUAGGAUGUAGAUGAAUUCUCUACCUAAGACU
rnacentral:tRNA from 1 species